GAUGAACGCUGGCGGCGUGCCUAAUACAUGCAAGUCGAACGCAUUGUGGUUGAAAUGAUAUGAAGAACUUGUUCAGAUUUGAUUUUCAACAUUGCAAUGAGUGGCGAACGGGUGAGUAACACGUGGGAAACCUACCUCUUAGCAGGGGAUAACAUUUGGAAACAAAUGCUAAUACCGUAUAAUAAUUAAAACCGCAUGGUUUUAGUUUAAAAGAUGGUCUUGCUAUCACUAAGAGAUGGUCCCGCGGUGUAUUAGUUAGUUGGUGAGGUAAUGGCUCACCAAGACAAUGAUACAUAGCCGAGUUGAGAGACUGACCGGCCACAAUGGGACUGAGACACGGCCCAUACUCCUACGGGAGGCAGCAGUAGGGGAUCUUCCACAAUGGACGAAAGUCUGAUGGAGCAACGCCGCGUGUGUGAUGAAGGGUUUCGGCUCGUAAAACACUGUUGUAAGAGAAGAAUGACAUUGAGAGUAACUGUUCAAUGUGUGACGGUAU
rnacentral:rRNA from 1 species